rnacentral:rRNA from 1 species
UUGCAGCCCGGUAAUACAACAAAGCCUGAUCCACCGCCGCCGCGUGAGUGAUGAAGGCCUUCGGGUUGUAAAGCUCUUUUCAGUGGGGAAGAUAAUGACGGUACCUACCGAAAAAGCCACGGCUAACUUCGUGCCAUCCGCCCCGCCAAUACAAUAC